UACGUAGGGUGCGAGCGUUGUCCGGAAUUAUUGGGCGUAAAGAGCUCGUAGGCGGUUCGAUAAGUCGGGUGUGAAAACUCUGGGCUCAACUCAGAGACGCCACCCCGAUACUGUUGUGACUUGAGUCCGGUAGGGGGAGUAUGGAAUUCCCGGUGUAGCGGUGAAAUGCGCAGAUAUCGGGAGGAACACCAGUGGCGAAGGCGGGGUCUCUGGGCCGAUAUCGACGCUGAGGAGCGAAAGCGAUGGGGAGCGUAGGGAA
rnacentral:rRNA from 1 species